CCUCUUUAAAAAUAUUUCUCCAUAUUAUUAAGGCUUUGGAAUUUCAAUAAAGAAUCACGUUUUCAACAAUUUUAUUUUCCACGUUCAUCUUCAAAAUGUGAGAUGCUCAGUGCUAUUAGUGGUUUGUCCACAUCUUUUCAAAUACGUUGUUAUGUAUGGAUUUAAUUACUUCAGUUCAGAGCUCCUUUGGGAGAAAUCAUGAUACAGUUUAAGGCACAAUUUAGCCUUCACGUUAUUUGCAGCGCUUGCUUGAAUUAUCAUUUGUCAUGGUGUGAUAAUUCUCAUGUUAUGUUGGUAAGAGAAUUUAUGCAUAAUUUCACGUUUGAUUUGAAUGUGGAGGAGCAAGCAUCUCAUUGAGUAUAAUUCGUUAUACUCAUCCCUCUCUAUUUACAAUUUUCAGGUAGAAAUUAGUAUGCUAGACGGCAGUGGAUGGAUGCAUAUUGGACCAAUGGAUCUCCAUCAUGAAGUACUUUAAUUUUUAGAAACACUAGAAUAUUUAAUAACAGUUGAUUAUUAUUAUUUUUAAAUUUAGACUCAAUUGUGAGUCACGUCAUAACUUUCAAUUAGUCCUAUUUUUAUUAUUUGUUAGAACUACUUUUAUUAAUGUUUGAUAAAAGAUAUGAUUCCAAAUUGUUCCGCAUAUGUUAUUUAAUUUAAUUUAAUUUACCUUUUGUUAAGGUUGUUCACUUUUUACUGAAUUCCUCGUUAUAUUAAAAUGUAUUUGCCUCAAGCACCUUAUUAAUUAAUUCACGUUUGGUAACGAUCCGGGUUGCUAGAGAAUUCGGGGCGUUACACUACUAGCACAUCUAAGACCACAUUUUUCCCUACUUCUGAUCAGCCUACACAUGUGCCUAACCCCGAACCUAUUGUUGAGGGAUUUGUAAGACAGAGGUCUACCAGACAGUACAUGACCAUCGACCUAGGAAUAGACGUCUGCGUUCACAUAACAUAGGUCCUAGAUUUAUCACAAAAUGCUUUCAUUGUGGAGAGUUAGGUCACAUCUGCCCUAUAUGUCAUCAGUACCUGAACAAAAAUAAGAAUAUGCACUUAAAUGCAAACAAAAAUUAAGUGUUUGUUCAUCAGGUUAGAUUCCUUACUGAACAAGUGAAUCGUUUAACCAAGUUGGUGACACAACUGUCUAGGAACUGUUAUCCAACUAGAUAGAUUUAGGUGAAGAAGAGUGAUAUGCAGAAUCUGGAAGUGGAUCAUGGUGCUUUUAAGGGAAAGAACACUUAUAUACCUAACUGAUUAGAUAGUUUUUGAUGCAUGCAUGUUCUUAAUUGUCACAUGAUGAUUGCGUGCAUCACUUCUAUGUGUUUAUUUUUAUUUGCUAUCUUUUUGGUUCAUGCAUGUGCAUUCUCAUCUGUCUAUAUCGGCGCAUGCAGAUUCUAUUUUUGUUUUUGUGUGCUUGAUAUUUUUCAUUGUGUGUGAUGCAUUCCUAUUUGAAAAAGAAAAACACAAAAAAAUUGAAAAAGACAAAUAUUUUGUUACGGAAAUUGCUACAUCAUGACAUAUAUUUCUUGAACUUGUUGGUUGUGAUCAUGCAUGAGCUGAAAUUGAUAAACAGUAGAAUAAUUUCCAUUACUUGUUUAGGUCUGUUUGGAUUAAUUGAACAUUGCUGUAAAAGUCAGGGACUUAGGUUGCAAUUUUACAAAGUUAGUUGAGAUGGAUUAAGGUUCGAGCUUGAGGUUGAAAUCAGGAAUGCGGCAUCGAAAUUUUAGUAGAUUCUCGGCCUGCCAUUGAUCGAGCAAAAAUAACAGAAACUUUGUCGCUCGCUUUUCGCCCCUUGUCACUCGAGCAAAAAGCUGUCACUCGUUUUUUGUUGAGUUAUUGCUCAAGCGAUAGUGUUACCCGACCAAAUCCUAGGUUGCGUUUUAAAGAGUUUUAAACGGCCUAAGAUACUUAUUUACCCCCAAGUAUAAAUUGAAAAGUCUUGAAGUGAUCCAAGGUGAAAUUAACUAGAGAAUUUAUCAACUUCAUUUUUGUGAUCUGGCAACCUAUCUUUGGGAAAACUUCAAGGUUCUUGAAGACAAAACACUGUGCUUCCUUGAAUCAGUUGAGGAAGAGACUCUCUCAUUAGGGGAUUGAGAGAGGUAGAUUAAAGCGAAGUUAUAGGCACAAGAAUAGGCGAUUCUUGGUGGUCCACUUUGAAGAGACAUUCAGUACAGACCAGGAGGCUAUAGAAGACAAUAGAUUGAGCUGCAGGAGGUAGACUUGGAGGUCUAGCAGGAGACUAGAGGAAUCUAUGACAGUAGGAGGCUGUAGGUGGUAGAUCAGGAAUUCUAGUGCUAGAGGUGUCUGCGGCAGUAGAUCGUAAGGCUGUGGCAGCGGGUCUUAACAGGUACAAGGAUAGGCUUGUCAUUGUAUGCUCUGAAUUGUCUAUAGUGGAGGUAAUUGGCUUGGUCCCGGAGUUUUGCCCACGUUGGUAUUUCUCCAUCAUCAUAUCGUGUGUUGAUUUAAUUGCUUUCCAAUUUAUAUAAACUGCGGUAUUCAAACAUAGGAUAAUUGAACUGUAAAUAACUUGUUGCUUUGAUUAAUUAGUUCCGCGCUUAUUGUUGAACUAAUUAGUUGACUAAAACGAAAAUUUGGUAUCAUUAAAACUUGAAUUUGAUAUUGUAUCGCGUUAGACGAUCUCUUAAGUGGUGUCCACAGUAUUCUAGGUGACUUUUCACAUAGAAAUUCAUUUUGAAGGGAAAAAGGAGAUUUGGAUCCCUCAUAGCAGGUUUCAAUAGGCGACGAGCAUAUCCUGAUGAAUAUGGAGUUAGAAUCAUUAAUGCUAGGCAUGAAGCAUGCCAUGAUGCAUAGCACUGUAAGAGAUAUACAAUGAGUGACAUGGUAGGAAACAUUCAAUUGUGGGAAAGCAAUUGUUAAUUUGCAUGCUUUGCAACCAAAAAAUGUCAAAAGAUGGCUAUAAGAAUAAAAAAUAGUCCAUAAUGUGCACCAACAUCUAAUUUUAUUGUUUUAUGUAUUAUAAGAGUGAAAUGUUUCAACAGUAACUGAACUUUGCAUAAUGUCACAUUUCACUCACCGUUCUUUAGUUCGCAUCCCAUCACUAAUUGAACUUUACAAAGUUGUACUCCAUCACUAACCCGCUAACUUCUAUCUUCAUAGUUCGCCUACGUGAAAGAUGACGAUCAUAUGUGCCCGUUAAAUAAUCCAAACUGGAGAAGGAAUUUCCAGGUCAAAAGAACCAAACACCCCUCUCCUAAGUUCAUCACGAAAGUCACGAUUUGGGAGCCCUAAUUUAUAAAAAAUGCUCAAUUUAUAUCGGCAUUACAGUGAAAUUCCUCAAACAUCUCCGUCGAAGGCAUGAACCCUACUCCCAAAAUCAUAAUUAUUCCAAAAUUGAAUAACUAUAAAAGGCGAUUGUUGAAUAUGUUGGUAUGGAGAGAACAUGUAGAGGUAAGAAAAAUUUUCCCUUUUCGUUAAUUUAAUUUCAUUGGAUCUAUAGUGCAAACUAGUCUUUUUGAUCCGGUUGAGUUAAUGGAAUCGAGAUAACAUAAUGAAAUGCGCACAAUGCUCUUAUCCACGGCUCUGAUUUUCCAUUUCAUUUGUUUUCAUCUCUUAAGCUUCGUUCUUUGAUUUUGGGAGUUCACUAGUGCAGUUCUUAGAUGUGGUAUGCCCAAAAAAGCUUAGUUCUUUCUCCAAAGUCACUUUCAGUCUGCUAUCUUGUCUCACCCGUGUGUGUUAUAAUAUGGCUUGGGCGAGGAUCCAAUUUCCCAUUUCGUUAGUCCUCUGUGUUUUUACAUCAUAGGGCUAAUAUGCUAAUAGCUCCAAUUUAGUUUUUACUACAUCAUAUGUAAUUAAUGGAUGCAUUACAUUUUAUGUUUCAUAGGAAAGACCAAGGAGACUUGCCACAUUUACAAAGAACCAAGCCACCAAUUAUGGGUAUACCCAAUAAAACUACAAUGUCCAAAUUGUGCCGGAGGCAUCAUGAAAUGGAUGGAAUUAGAAAGGACGAAGGAGUAGGUCAGUUAUUCUUUUGUUGCACUAGAGAUAAUUGGGUUUUCGAGUGGAGAAAAGUCCUACCCACAACCGUAAUCAAUUCCAAGAAGAAGGUCAAUGCUGUGGUGUUAAAGAAGAACGAAAGGGCUUUUCAAUUGAAGAUAUGUCCAGUUUGUUCAAGAUUGCGUCUGAAAUUAUCAAACAACAAGAUGUUAACAUAUUCUUUAAACUAAGCUUCUGCAAGGCUAAAGGAGAACGGAACUCAAUGGGAAACGAAGGCCAAGAGAGUCGUGAACAUAUUCCAUAAAUGAAGGCGAUGAGAUGAGAAUAAUUAGCUUUUAAUUUCAUAUUUUUUUAAUAACAACUAGACUAUUCAUGCUUCUAAUUUCAUAUUUAUUGUUUUCAUUUAACUGGAGACUAUGCUAUGUUGAUAAUUGAUUUCGUGAUGUUGUGAUUUCUAAAAAAGAAUCUCUGUUUGCUUAUGUUUGAUUUGAACUAGUUGUGUAUCAAAAAUUUUCUAGUGACCUUCUACUAAUGAUUUGAACAAUCUCCAUUUGCCUCUAUUGUAAUGUUUAUGCUGCCUUCAAUUACAACAGCUGAAGCUAAACUUUUCUGCAAUCAGUCCAAGCUGUAGGGGUUGCUGCUAGUUGUAUAUAAGGCAGUAAAAUAGGUGUUAAAGGAGAUGAGGACAUUGCUGGUAUGCUUGCAGCACGUAGUUCGCGACCAUUUGAUAUCAAAGGGCUUGUUUGAGUAAUGCAGUUGAGCCUUUUAGAAGCUAAAUGAGCUAGUGGUAGAGGCAGCUUAUGAAGUUCGCUUAUUAUGGGCAAUGACAGGAAAGUAGGUUAAAUAUGUGUUGAUAACUUUGGCUUUACAUUUCGAAAACAGUAUCCCUAAAAAUUAAUUCAUGUCACAAAAAUUAGCAUCAAUACCAUAUUUAUUUUUUACACUGUAACUUGCAUAUCCAACAGAAUUCAAACACCAUCAACAAGACAUAAAGCUGCCUUGACAGAACAAAAAAUCAGCAUGCCCGAUAGAAGUUUCUCUUCUUGCUCCAUCUCUUGAAGGCUCAUUCACAUAGGCAUGUGUAGAGUCACUAGCACAUUCUUGAAGCUGGAUUUCCUCAAUACAGACUUUUGUGUUUAAAGAUAAACUCUGGCAACCAAAACCCAACCUCAUCAUCAGAUGAAACACCAAACAACAAUUUUUCAAAUGAUGAAUAUUCCAAAUCAUGGACCUCCUGGUAUUCGUGAUGUGCUAUUACCACAUCAUUCCAUUCUUACCAUCCGACUGCCACCUCGUCGCAACCUAACUCAAUUCCAUCGCACAUUUUUCUCGAACAGCAUAUCAUUAUCUCUAAACGAUAUGUCGUUCUCCAAAUUAUUGAAGUCCGUAUUUAUCCUUCUUAUCUGUUACCCAAAGAAGCAAUUGAAAAAGAUGAACAGUAGUCUCUAAAUUUUAGGUAUGUAGUAUCUUCGAACAUUACAUCCAUCAAAUAUGGCUACAGAUUCUAUGUUUCUUAACAAUGAAANUUUUUUUUUUUUUUACAAAUGUUUAUAUAUAUAUAUAUAUAUAUAUAUAUAUAUAUAUAUAUAUCUUGUGGCCGUUUUCUUUGAUGGUGGGUGGGUGGGUGUUGAGAGAGGGAAGAGCCGAGAGAGAGACGACUGAAAGGUGAGGGAACAAUCGGCUUGGUGGUUGUUGGAGUGAGUCCACCAUUGUUGCUUCUUCUUCUUCUUCUUCUUCUUCUUCCCAUUACCACCACUAUCCCUUCUCCUUUGCGGGGUUCGAGAGAGCUCGGGGCAGUCCAAGGUGCAAUUGAAAUUUUGGGUCGAGUUGAGUUAAAUCGAUGUUCAUUUGAUUGUUUUCUGAGCCCGGAAUCAAGAUUUAUCAAUCAAAUCUAAAAGCCGGUCGAAUUCUAGACAGAAAAAAUGUCAAAAAUUUGUACCUAUAUAACGCAUUUUCUAACCAAAUCAAAAAGAGUUUGAAGAAACGAACACCACCAUUGGACUGUGCAGACUGAGGCGGCUCAGGCAGGGUGGUGCAUGGCCGUCGUCGAUGCCGACGUCGGCGGCGCGUAAGGAAUCUGAUAGGGCGCAUGUAGGCGCGUGGCUGGCAUUGCAACGAUGGUAUCUUCAGACAAAAUGUUGGCGGAGAUGAGACACACCCUAUGGUGGUGUCGGAUUUCAAUUUUGAGUAAUGCAAUGAAAGUUGGACGAUUUUGGCCUUGGAGGUUUGGGUGUCAGGUGCUGCUUUUGUGUUGCUGCGAUUGCUAAUAACUUUAGGAUGAAUAGUGAUGAUCCUAAAGCGGUGAAUUCAUAUUUCUCGAUAUUUAUGGACCUUCUGACGUGGUUCACUCGAUAUCGUGCUCUUUGUCUUUUAUUAUUGCAAUUAAAAAUUAUUGUUAUGGUAAUUAUUUAUUUUUCGCAUUAGAAGUCAACGUGUGGAGUGACAUUAGGUUUGGGGUUACCAUGAAUGGGUAAUCAUUGUGUGUUGCUAGAUCUAGGAAUUAUAUGUUAAUUAUUGGCCUUGAAUUUCAUGUGAAUUUGUUACCAAUUUUUUCUACACCGUUAGAAUUGCAUGUGACCUUGGGAAUGUUUGUUGGACUAUUUUCAGUGAAUUAUGUAUGUACUUUGCUUGUGAUCAUUGUUUGGUAUUGAAGGCAAAUGUAGGUCUAUUACAAGUGCGAAAAAUAAAAUACGUUUUAACUGUGGUAAAAUUUGGAUAUGGUGAAAGAGAUUGUCCUAGGAGAAUAAUAAAGGGAAAGAUAAUAUGAGAUUUGAGGUGAAUGUGACUUUAGGGUAGAGUGGCGACUCUAUGAGAGAGUAAACCUGGUUACUGUAUUGCAUCUAUGUGUAAUCUUUUUUGCAUGCGUGUAAUCUUUUUUGCAUGCAUGUAAUUGCUUAAUUCUUUUACGUUGGUACAUUACACUUUCAAUACGUUUGAUGUGUGUAAUUGCAUGAAUUAGAGUGAUUUAUUACUUUGUGUAAUGUGUUUACAUGCAUAGUGGGUUAAGAUUUGUGGCGUACUCUAUUUUCUCUAUGAGUGAUGCGAGAGUGUGGUAGUGAAAAGAAAGAUGGCCAGCCAUUUUCUCCUUUAUCUUUGUGAGCCUGUGUGGUUUGUGAGAUUGUGUGAGGUAGCCAUGUUAAAGUUAUCUUUUUUCUCUUUGUGAGCCUCUUUUGUGAGUGCAGUGAAGUAACCAAAUUCUUUCUUCGAUUCUAUUUAUGAGUGUCACCUUCACCCUUUCCUUUGGAUUUUUGGAGCAUUGGUGAUUGGAGCAACUUUGUUGUGCGUGGGUAAACUUAUAUUGAGCCCUAACCUUUGUGGUCAUUGAAAGGUAUUGAUUUGCCAUAGUGAGUUUGUGAUGUACUAACAGUGAGGAUGUCCUAUGGUAAGGUAGAGUAUAGAUGCCUAUGGGUACUUUGUGGUUUGUACCAGGGAUGUGUUGUGUGGCACUUGGAUUAUGAGUGGAGAUGUUAUUAAAUGUCUGAAAUCCUUUAUCUGUGAAGAGAUCCUAUUUAGGUGGAGUGUGAGAGAGGCACUUUUAUCACUUCUAUAAAGUAGAGACCCAUUAUCCACGUAGGUUGGGAGAAGUGAUAUGUCAUAGAGGAUUAUCCCGCGAACUUAGGAUCCAUUGUGACUUAAUAGUUAGACAUGAGUUGAUCAGUCUAGUGAGCAUGGUGGGUGAUGAGAGGAGAUAUGUGGUCUUGAGGUGUGAGCAAGACGGAAUGGGAUAGGAUAGGUGUGGUGAGAUCUUUUCGGGGUCAUUUAUGCAUUUGUUGCAUAUGUGUUUGAUCGUGUGUUGAUUAACUCGAUAUUAAUCAGUGGUUCUGUGUGAACGUGAUUUUGAAAAGAUCUUAAUCAGUGGUUCUGUGUGAACGUGAUUUUGAAAAGAUCUAUGUAUUAUCCUAUAUAAUAUCUUCAUAACAUUAAUAUUUUGUUCCUACUUGGGUGUUCUUGACCUUAGCCCCGGUGAGUAUAUGGAGCAGGUAUGGUAUAUGUUUUAGGUUGGAAACAUGAGGUAAAGUCCGUGAUUCCAAUUUUAUUAGAUUACCUUGAUUGUGCAAGUAUAAACUUUGUGUUUUGUUUGCUUGCAGAUUAUUGGGCAUCAAGGUAGAGAUUGUUAGGUAUUGAUACCUAAUAAUCUGGGUGAUGAUUUAAAACAGUUGUCGAAUUAUUUAUCGACACCAUGGACUUGGCUCGACUAAAAAAUGAACUACAAUUUUGGAUGGCUCAGGUUGGGGUUGGAUGGUUCUUUGGUUAGUUGGACCAUUUAGUGAUUAAUAUGAAGUUAGAUAUUAGCCCAUUAAUUUAGUUUAAUUGGUAGCCCACUUAGUAAACCUUUGGCCCAAUUGGAAUGACCCAAACUAACCCUAUAUAUAUGCCAUCUUCUUACAGUUAUUUUCUUUGAUGGUGGGCAUGUGUGUGUUGAGAUAUGGAAGAGUCGAGAGAGAGAGACAUCCGAAAGGUUAGGGGACAGCCGGCUUGGUGGUUGUUGGAGUGAGUCCACCAUUGUUACUUUUUCUUCUUCCCAUUACCACUACUAUCCCUUCUCAUUUUUGGGGUUUGAGAGAGCUCGGGGUAGUCCAAAGUGCAGUGGAAGUUUUAGGUUAAGCCAAGGUACACUGGCGUUCAUUUGAUUGUUUUUUGAGCCCUGAUUCAAAAUUUAUCGAGAGAUUUCCGCAAUAAAGUUAAUUUUGAUGAUGUGAAAUUUGGGUCCAACUACAUUAACACGCAUCACGUGGUUGUUGGAGUGAGUCCACUAGUGUUGCUUCUUUUUCUUCUCAUUACCACCACCAUCCCUUCUCCUUUGUGGGGUUAGAGAAAGCUCAAGGUAGUCCAAAGUGCAGUGGAAGUUUUGGGUUAAGUCGAGGUACACCGUGUUCAUUUGAUUAUUUUCUGAGCCCGGAAUCAAGAUUUAUCGAGGGAUUUCCAUAGCAAAGUUAAUUUUGAUGAUGUGAAAUUGGGGUCCAACUAUAUUAACACGCCACGUGUGUAUUUAAAAAUUUAGCAUCUAUUUGAAAAUAAAUUUAUAAAUCAGUCAAAAUCAAAAAUGAAUUUCAAUUAUACAUUCAUAAAUACUAUUUAUUAUUAUUCACAUUUUGUAGGAUUCACAGUUAUUCUUCUUUUUUACCUCAUUUAUACAAUUGCCAAACGAAUUGUCCACACAUUUUGUGUGAUCGACUGCUAUUCUUUUUUGUAAAUCAUUUAUAAAUUUGAUAAUGGAGACUUAAUAGUUAAUUCACAUAAUACAUGAGACUCUACUUUGUUCUCCUAUUUCUUCAUAUUUUUUUUCUUUCUUUCGCCUUCAUUAUUAUUUUUCUAUCUCUCAACACUUUGAGUUUACAUGGGACCCAUCCGAGUAACUCCAAGGUCUUGAGUAGUUACUCAGAAGCUUCUAGGUCAUGAUAUGUCAAGUUGCCCUAUGUCAUAAAAGUGUUAAAAUUAAAAACAAUCAUUUUAAUCUAACGACAUUAUCAUAGCCAUCAUUUUCUCAUUUUCAUUUUUAGGGUACCAUGUAGAGAUUAUGUGAAAGAUUAAUAUGACUACCAACUAAGAAAUUUUCGUCAGUUUGAGGAAAAAUAUGUGAUGGAAUGUGAUAAAGGUGUGAAAUUUCGGUUAAAACAUGAUUUGUACCAUUUGACCAUAUAAAAUUAUUAUAAAUAAGUGUGAUGAGCUACAUGACUUAGUUACCAUAUUAGUGUUUAUCAUGACAAGAAAAAGUAUAGCAUGUUAGCAUUUUAAUCUUGUUUUGUGUAGUUCAAUUAUCUCAUCCCUUAUCGUAGAGUAAAAUUAUGUGACAGAAAAUUUUCAAACUAUCUUGCAAAAGGAAGAAAUUGAUGAUGCUAUUAACCAUCUCUUAAUAGACAUAUGCAUUUUAAUUAUUUAAUUAUUACCAAAAUGACAUUCAAAGUUAUUAAUUUAAAUAUCAGGGAGUCUUCUUACGAACAAUGAGAUUCCCACUUUAGAUUCUAUAAAGCCCCUACUUGAUAGAAAUUAGAUUUAUAUUUUAAUCUAGUCUAAAGUAAAUAAUUAAAUUUAACCACAUAUUUUAAGGGAUUCAAUCUUUUUAACCCCGUAUUUAGUCAACUUCUAUCAAAAUAUACUAAAAACCUGAUUUUAAUACCCCACCAAGUAGGGACAAAGUAAUGAAACGUAAAGGAGAAACACACCAAUCAGUUGCGUGUGCAUGCAUGGGUUGUGUCGUUUUGGAGGUAACGUUAGUGUGUCAAAUAUUAAGGAUCGAGGAGAGAUGUGCAUCAAAUGAGGUUGGUCAAAUGAAGUUAAUUUGAUGAGGUAAAUCUCCAUAUGGCACAGUUAAAAAGUGUCUCUAGGGCAUAGUAAAUCAUUUUUGAAAAAGCAAUGAUUGCAAUAUCUUCUUCCUUGCGUUUAUCUGCUAGAAAAUUUUGAAAGGAGAUAAACUAUUAGUAUAUAUGAUGGAAAGCAGAAGUACAAUGAACUUGGAUAAUAUACAUUAACUUUACCAAUUAGAAGAUAAUAACUGGAAUUAAGGGUUUCGACAGAAAUACUGAAUGAUUUACUAUGUCUGUGAUGCACAGGGUCAGUAUUAACUUAGAGGUGAGAUUGUAAAUUAAAGCAGCGAAUCAAAUUUGAAUACUCAUGGUGUUAGGUCUAAACAUGUAAUUGGUGAUUCUGUGGACAAAAUAGGCUUAAUUGCGUGUUUGUAAAAGUCAUGGACUUAAUUGAACAUUGUUGUAAAAGUCAGGGACUUAGGGUGCAAUUUUGUAAAGUUAGUUGGGAUGGAUUAGUGUUCGAGCUUGAGGUUGAAAUCAAGAAUGUGGCGCCGAAAUUUUGCUAGCUUUUCGCCCUGCCAUCGCUCGAGCGAAAAUAAUAGAACCUUUGUCACUUGGUUUUUGCCCCCUUGUUGCUAGCUUUUCGCUGAGUCAUCGCUCAAGCGACAAUGUUACCUAGCCAAAUUCAAGUUUACAUUUUGAAGGUUUUUAAAUGGCCCAAGACAUUAUUUAUCCCCAAGUAUAAAUAGCAAAGUUUUGGAUGUGAGAAAUAGAGGUUACAACAUUGAGCUUUCAUCUCCAUAACACCUACAAGAUUCUUGAAGUGAUCCAAGGUGAAAUUAAUUAGAGAAUUCAUCAACUUAAUUCUUGUGAUCUAGUAACCUAUCUUUGGGAAAAACAUCAAAGUUCUCGAAGACAACAUCGUGAUUCCUUGAAUCAAUUGAGGAAGAGACUAUCUCAUUGGGGGAUUGAGAGAUGUGGAUUGAAGUGCAGUUACAAGCACAAGAAUAGGCGAUUCUUGGUGUUUCACUUUGGAGAGACAUAUAAUAUAGACCAGGUGGCUGUAGAAGAUAUCAGAUUGGGCUGUAGAAAAUAGACUUGGAGGUCUUACAGGAGGCUAGAGGAAUCUACGGCAGUAGGAGGUUGCAGGAGGUAGAUCAGGAGUUUUAGCACUAGAGGUGUCUACAGCAGUAGAUCAUAAGGCUGUGACAACAGGUCUUAACGGAUAUAAGGAUAGGCUUGUCAUUGUAUGCUAUGAAUUGUCUAUAGUAGUGGCUUGGUCCCGGAGUUUUACCCACGUUGGGGUUUCUCCGUCAUCAUAUCGUAUGUUAAUUUAAUUGAUUUCCAAUUUAUAUAAACUGCGAACAUAUGAUAAUUGAAUUGUAUGUUUAACCACCUAGACAUCUAAUUAAAGUGACUUGUUGCUUUGAUUAAUCAAUUUUGCACGUAAGGUCGAAGUAAUUAAUUGACUAGAACGAAAAUUUGGUAUCAAUAAAACUUGAAUUUGACAUUGAUCCUAUUAGACUAUCUCUCAAGUGGUAUCCACAGCGUUUUAGGUGACUUGUCAAGUGGUAUCAGAACUCGAGUGGGUGGCCUAGCCUUACAUAGUCUAGAUGAGUACUUCGUUGAGUGUGUUGCCCCAUUUUGAUGGGAAUAAUUAUGCUUAUUGGAAAGUGAGGAUGAUGGCAUUUUUGACAUCUAGAGGAUUUGGUUGAGUGUUAUAAAUGGUUGGUCUAUCCCUAAGUCCAUAGUAGAUGGUGUUGUCACUCCCACCCCACAGAGAAUUGGUCUAAAGCUAAAUUGGAUCGAUUCAAUUGGAAUAGUAAAGCCUUACAUGCCUGUUUAUGUCUAUUUUCCCCUAAAGAAUUUAAUAGAGUAUCCAUGUAUGAGAUUGCUAAAGAAGUCUGGGAUAUUCUAGAAACCACAUAUGAGGGAGCACAGGCUGUUAAGAAUUCAAAAUUGCAGAUGUUGGCUACUCGGUUUGAAGAGAUUAGGAAGAGAGAUGAUGAGAUAUUUGAUGUUUUCUAUGCGAGCUUAAACGACAUAGUGAACUCUUCCUUCAACCUAGGUGGGAAGAUUCUCGAGCCUAAGAUAGUUAGAAAGAUUCUUAGAUCCUUAUUCGAGUGUUUCAAGCCUAAAGUCAGGGCUAUAGCAGAAAGUAAGGACAUCGACACUAUCAAGGUAGAGGAGCUAGUUAGAGCCCUCUAGACCUAUGAGCAUACCUUAAACAAUUCUGCUAAGGAAAAAUCCCUUCCCUUGAAAUCUGCUAGGAAUAAUCGGAUCGAAUCUUCUGAUUCAGAUUUACCAAACGAUAAGAAAAUGGCCUACUUAGCUAAGAAAUUCCAAAAAAUGUAUAGGAAGUAGAAGUUGCAAGAGAAAUCGAGAGGUGACCCGAGUGAAUCUAGGAAAAAAUCUAAUUCGAUGAGAUGCCAUAACUAUCAAGGUAUAGGUCAUGUGAAGAAGGAUGCUCCAGUGCUACGAGAGUCGGGAAGAAGGUUAUGAAUGCUACUCUCACUGAGGACGAGUCUAGCUUGGACAAUCAGAGUGAGAAACUUACAUGUGAGGGGAGUGGAAAAUACGUUACCUUCGUAACUAGGGAUAAGAGUAGAUUCGAACAGAAGAGUGAAAGAGAUGAAGACUUAGAUAGCAAUGAGGAUUCUAGUAAUGAGUCGGUGAGUGAAGAAGAUAUCAAAGAACGUAUGAGAAGAUGUAUCAGGAAAGCCUGAAAUUCUCAAUAAAAACAAGGCUUUAAGUACUACUAUUCAGGAGCGGCAACAAAGAAAGCUAAGUUAGAGGAGUACGUUAAGGAAUCUUUCACUAUCCCGAGUGAACUUAAGUCAAUGAAUGAAGCUUUAGAGUCUCAGGUCAAAAAUCUCACCAGUGAGCUUGAGAAGUCCGCUAGGAAAAGUCAAUGAGUUGACUGCCAUGAAUGAGACUUUGCAAAUCCAGGUUGUGAACCUUGUGAGCGAUUUAGAGCACUGAAGGUCUCAACUUCUUGCCUUCACUAAUGGUUCAUCAAAGGUAGAUAAUCUUCUCGGAAUAGGCAAGCUAGCGGGAAAUAAAGGAGGCCUAGGAUAUAAAGGUAAACUUAAUGAUACUACUAGCACAUCUAAGACCACAUUUUUCUCCACUUCUGAUCAGCCUAAACAUGUGCCUAACCCCGAACCUAUUGUUGAGGGAUUUGUAAGACAGAACUCUACCAGACAGUACAGGACCAUCGACCUAGACGUCUGCGUUCACAUAACAUAGGUCCUAGGUUUAUCAUGAAAUGCUUUCAUUGUGGAGAGUUAUGUCAUCAGUACCUAAACAAAAAUAGGAAUAUGUACUUAAAUGGAAACAAAAAUUAAUUGUCUAUUCAUCAAGUUGGAUUCCUUACUGAACAAGUGAAUCGUUUAACCAAGUUGGUGACACAACUGUCUAGGAACUGUUAUCCAACUAGAUAGAUUUGGGUGAAGAAGAGUGAUAUGCAAAAUCUGGAAGUGGAUCAUGGUGCUCUUAAGGGAAAGAACACUUAUAUACCCAAAUGAUUAGACGAAGUAAUUAGUUGACUAAAACGAAAAUUUGGUAUCAUUAAAACUUGAAUUUGAUAUUGUAUCACGUUAGACGAUCUCUCAAGGGGUGUCAACAACAUUCUAGGUGACUUUUCACAUAGAAAUUCAUUUUCAAGGGAAAAAGGAGAUCUGAAUCCCUCAUAGCAGAUUUCAAUAGGCGACGAGCAUUUCUUGAUGAAUAUGGAGUCAGAAUCAUUAAUGCUAGGCAUGAAGCAUGCCAUGAUGCAUAGCACUGUAAGAGAUAUACAAUGAGUGACAUGGUAGGAAACAUUGAAUUGUGGGAAAGCAAUUGUUAAUUUGCAUGCUUUGCAACCAAAGAAUGUCAAAAGAUGGCUAUAAGAAUAAAAAAGAGUCUAUAAUGUGCACCAACAUCUAAUUUUAUUGUUUUAUGUAUUAUACGAGUGAAAUGUCUCAACAGUAACUAAACUUUGCAUAAUGUUAUGUUUCACUCACCGUUCUUUAGUUUGCAUCCCAUCACUCAUUGAAAUUUACAAAGUUGCACUCCAUCACUAAUCCGCUAACUUCUGUCUUCAUAGUUCGCCUACAUGAAAGAUGACAGUCAUAUGUGUCCGUUAAAUAAUCCAAACUGGAGAAGGAAUUUCCAGGUCAAAAGAACUAGACACCUCUCUCCUAAUUUUGUCAUGAAAUUCGCAAUUUGGGAGCACUAAUUUAUGAAAAAAUCGCAAUUUAUAUUGGCAUUGAAGUGAAAUUCCUCAAACAUCUCCAUCGAAGGCAUGAACCCUACUCCCAAAAUCAAAAUUAUUCCAAAAUUGAAUGACUAUAAAAGGCGAUUGUUGAAUAUGUUGGUAUGGAGAGAACAUGCAGAGGUAAGAAAAAUUUUCCCUUUUCGUUAAUUUAAUUUCAUUGGAUCUAUAGUGCAAACUAGUCUUUUUGAUCUGGUUGAUUUGUUAAUGGAAUCGAGAUAACAUAAUGAAAUGCAAACAAUGCUCUUAUCCAUGGCUCUGAUUUUCCAUUUCCUCUGUUUUUAUCUCUUAAGCUUUUUUCUUUGAUUUUUGGAGUUCACUAGUGCAAUUCUUAGAUGUGGUAUGCCCAAAAAAGCUUAGUUCUUUGUCCAAACUCACUUUCAGUCUGCUAUCUUGUCUCACCUGUGUGUGUUAUAAUAUGGCUUGGGCAAGGAUCCAAUUUCCCAUUUCGUUAGUCCUCUGUGUUUUUACAUCAUAAGGCUAAUCUGCUAAUAGCUCCAGUUUAGUUUUUACUACAUCAUAAGUAAUUAAUGGAUGCAUUACAUUUUAUGUUUCAUAGGAAAGAACAAGGAGAUUUGCCAUAGUUACAAAGAACCAAGCCAGCAAUUAUGGGUAUACCCAAUAAAACUACAAUGUCCAAAUUGUGCCAGAGGCAUCAUGAAAUGGAUGGAAUAAGAAAGGACGAAGGAGUAGGUCGGUUAUUCUUUUGUUGCACUAGAGAUUAUUGGGUUUUCGAGUGGAGAAAAGUCCCACCCACAGUCGUAAUCAAUUACAAGAAGAAGGUCAAUGCUGUGGUGUUAAAGAAUAACGAAAGGGCUUUUCAAUUGAAGAUCUGUCCGGUUUGUUCAAGAUUGCGACUGAAAUUAUCAAACAACAAGAUGUUAACAUAUCCUUUAAACUAAGCUUCUGCAAGGCUAAAGGAGAACGAACUCAAUGGGAAACGAAGGCCAAGAGAGUCGUGAACAUAUUCCAUAAAUG
rnacentral:lncRNA from 1 species